rnacentral:tRNA from 1 species
ACUAAUAUGGCAGAACUAAUGCUGUGAACCUAAAAUUCACCCAUAAACAAAAAUUUUAUUAGAA